CCUGGUCCGCACUCCGCUAGCGGAUCGAUCCGACCACGAAUUGAUUCCCCUCCCUGGUCGCCUAUCCGCUCGACGGAUCACGCCGGCUGGCCGCCCGGCCGCGCGCCGCCGCGAGACCCUGCCGGUGGGCAGGUUGACUCCGAUGAGCCCUCCUCCGCCGUCGCGUCGGACUCCCACUUACAUCCUCCUCCUCCUCCUGCUCUUCUUCUCGCUAACCGCGUCGGCUGCACAACCAAAAGGGGUAUGUGUUUCACCUGGUGGACGGUUCCCUGCUUUCUCAUUUGAAGGCAAGCCUCCUGGAAAAGCAGCAAAGGGGCGCAGAGACCUAGCACUAUGUAGGAUAUUCCGCCAGAACACAUGUUGUGACGUGACUCAGACAUUUCCUGCCCUGCUUUCAGUGCGAAAGCUCUCGUCAACUGGUGAAGGUAGUGGAGAAUGCCUUCAUUUGUGGGAGUUGCUCGAGUGCUCAGUUUGUGAUCCACGAGUUGGUGUCAGGCCUGGACCUCCUGUUAUAUGUGCAUCAUUCUGUGACAUGGUUUUCGAAGCUUGCUCGGAGGCAUACUUCUCCAUUGAUAUGAAAACACAGGCCUUAUCUCCUUGUGGUUUAGGUGACAUCCUUUGUGGCAAAGCACAUAAGUGGGUUUCUAACGGCACAGAGCUAUGUCGCCUUGCUGGUUUCUCUGUGCAAGUUUCUGAUGCCGGUCUUAGUGAAGUUGACGAAACCUUCUGCUAUGGCGGGAAAGCAAGUUUGGAUUCCAUAUCCCAUACAUGGACGUCUUCAAAAGAUCGUCCAGUAUUACAUGGUAUGGCCUCUUGGCAUCUUGAAGAUUUUCAGAUAUGGGCAAAAGAAAUGCCUGUCGGUGAAAGAAUUUCGUGGGCAGUCGGAGGAAUGGUUCUUACAGCAGGCCUUAUUUUUAUCAGCAAAAGAGAGGGCUACAGCCGUCGUCGUAAGCAAGCUUCUGUCGCUCAAACUGUAAGAAAAAAAUGGAAUCGGGAGCUAACCUGCAGCAACUGAAGCGAUGCUAGGAAGACAUAGGCACCUGUAGCAUUACUAAUAGAUGAUUUCUUGGAUUUGUAUUUUUGCCGCUCUGUGGUUAUAUUCUGAUCAACUAUGAAAGAUUGGUUGUUAGACUGUGUCCUCCCUAUCCUGGUGCUUUGGUACAACCACCUUUUCUCAAUGUUGUGUGAAAGAAAAGCUGAAGAGGUCUUUGAAUUGUUGUCGAGAUUCUUUCUUAAUGCAGUUUUUUACUUUGGCUCGAGUAUCUGUAUAUACUGUCAGAGUAUUCGGAAAUGAAUUCCGCAGAGGUUAUUCCUCAAGCGUCUUUACUGACGCUUAACUAUUUUGUGCAAAGUCUGUCCAUCUAUUAUAAGCAUAAUGUUGACCGUACAUUAUAUAG
rnacentral:rRNA from 1 species